GCCUCAUUGCCAAAUCCAGAACUAUCCCUUUAAUGACUGAUCUUAGCUGUCCUGAUUUGCAUAUUCCCAGAAUUUCACUGUGUGAUUGUUCAUUAACAAAAAAUUAUCAUAUGUAAAAUAUAUACUUUGCCCAUGAUUUUUUUAAAGUUGUUGUAAAACCAUAAUAGAUGAGGUCGAGGCUGCUGUGGCACUAUAUAACAACAUCAACCCUGUCUCAUUUUCUGUGGGUGGAAGCUCAUCAUAGAGGUCACAUGCAGGGUGCUUGUCACUCAACCAAUCACCUUGGGGAAGGUCUGAGACAAGAGCCAAUCACUGCCCUAGCAGGGUAUCACCUGACCUGGGUGAGUGAGUGCACAGAGAAUAUGGGCCAUUGUGAGUUGUCUUUACAGAAACCAGCCAGAGCAGCUCUCCAGCAGUACUGGUUGAUGUGACCUCACUGGCUUGGAAACACUCAUGGCUGGCAUAUGAGUGCAAUGUGUGAGUUGGAGUACACCUCCAGAACCCAAUUCAGACUACUCUCUGCCCACAGUUUUAUUCUCAAACUACUGUCUACAUUUACUCUUUCAAUUAAAUAAACAAAUUUCCGUUACUGUGCGACUACUCUAUCCACAGAUAAAGAGCCUCAUUGCCAAAUCCAGAACUAUCCCUUUAAUGACUGAUCUUAGCUGUCCUGAUUUGCAUAUUCCCAGAAUUUCACUUCACAACCAGAGACAACUGUACCUAGGUGUGAUUGUUCAUUAACAAAAAAUUAUCAUAUGUAAAGUAUAUACUUUGCCCAUGAUUUUUUUAAAGUUGUUGUAAAACCAUAAUAGAUGAGGUCGAGGCUGCUGUGGCACUAUAUAACAACAUCAAGCCUGUCUCAUUUUCUGUGGGUGGAAGCUCAUCAUAGAGGUCACAUGCAGGGUGCUUGUCACUCAACCAAUCACCUUGGGGAAGGUCUGAGACAAGAGCCAAUCACUGCCCUAGCAGUCACCUGACCUGGGUGAGUGAGUGCACAGAGAAUAUGGGCCAUUGUGAGUUGUCUUUACAGGAGAAACCAGCCAGAGCAGCUCUCCAGCACUACUGGUUGAUGUGACCUCACUGGCUUG
rnacentral:lncRNA from 13 species